UUAGGAAUUUUCGUCAAUGGACGCAAGUCUGAACGAGCGACGCCGCGUGAAGGAUGAAGCCUUUCGGGGUGUAAACUUCUUUUUUACGGGAAGAUAAUGACGGUACCGUAAGAAUAAGCACCGGCUAACUACGUGCCAGCAGCCGCGGUAAUACGUAGGGUGCAAGCGUUAUCCAGAUUUACUGGGCGUAAAGCGCGCGCAGGCGGAUUGUUAAGUCAGUCGUGAAAGCCCCCGGCUCAACUGGGGAGGGUCGUCUGAAACUGGCAGUCUUGAGGACAACAGAGGAGUGUGGAAUUGCGGGUGUAGUGGUAAAAUGCGUAGAUAUCCGCAGGAACACCAGUGGCGAAAGCGGCACUCUGGGUUGCACCUGACGCUGAGGCGCGAAGGCUAGGGGAGCGAACAG
rnacentral:rRNA from 1 species